rnacentral:tRNA from 1 species
UCCCUGGUGGUCCUGUGUUUAGGACUUGGUAUUUUCACUCCCAUGGUUGGGGUUCAAUCCCUAGUCAGGGAA